rnacentral:rRNA from 1 species
UACAGAGGGGGCAAGCGUUGUUCGGAAUUACUGGGCGUAAAGGGCGCGUAGGCGGCCUGCUAAGUCGAACGUGAAAUCCCUGGGCUCAACCCAGGAACUGCGUCCGAUACUGGUUGGCUUGAAUCCGGGAGAGGGACGUGGAAUUCCAGGUGUAGCGGUGAAAUGCGUAGAUAUCUGGAGGAAUACCGGUGGCGAAGGCGGCAUCCUGGACCGACAUUGACGCUGAGGAGCGAAAGCUAGGGGAGCAAACGGG